GGCCGUCUGGCGCAAUGGUGGCGUGUCCGCCUACGACCAAAACUAGUUUGACUAGUGUCUGCAAGCGGGAGGCUGCAGGUUCGAGUCCUGCGACGGUCA